rnacentral:rRNA from 1 species
CACUGUGGAAUUUGCGCAUGGGCGAAGCCUGAUGCAGCCAUGCCGCGUGAGUGAUGAAGGCCUUCGGAUUGUAAACCUCUUUUCUUUGGGACGAUGAUGACGGGACCCUUACAAGAUUGUCCGGGCCUUUUCGUGCCAACACCCCCGGGAU